CCGCCGCCGACGACGUCGCAAGAAGUCCACUGAACCUUAUCAUUUAGAGGAAGGAGAAGUCGUAACAAGGUUUCCGUAGGUGAACCUGCGGAAGGAUCAUUGCCAAUGCCUGCAAAGCAGAACGACCCGCGAACCGUUUUCCAGCCUCCCGGCAGCCCGAAGCCCCGGACGCUGAGCGUGCAACCCACCUCCAGUGGACGGAGCUCCAAAACAAACCCCGGCGCGCGAAGCGCCAAGGUACUCCAACGACAGGGCACGCGCCCGUAUCCCUGGGGUUCCAGUGCGCUCGGGUCGCUGUUCUGCGUCGCAAAAGUCUAAACGACUGUGUGAAUUGCAGAAUCCCGUGAACCAUCGAGUCUUUGAACGCAAGUUGCGCCCGAAGCCUCGGCUGAGGGCACGCCUGCCUGGGUGUCACACAACUUUUUCGCCUCCAAAACCUUUGCCCCUCGAACGCCGGGGCGAUGGACCCGAUGCGGAAGAUGGCCUCCCGCGACCACGGSUCGCGGAUGGUCCAAACACGUGCUGGGGAAGGGAAGCGCCACGGCAYUSGGUGGUCAAUAGAAACCCCACGAGCAGUGCCGGCGGUGGCCGCAUCCGUCCCCAGCCCACGACCCUAAACGUUAACCGACGCGACCUCAGGUCAGGCGGGACUACCCGCUGAGUUUAAGCAUAUCAAUAAGCGGAGG
rnacentral:rRNA from 1 species